rnacentral:rRNA from 1 species
UACGGAGGGUGCAAGCGUUAUCCGGAUUCACUAGGUUUAAAGGGAGCGUAGGUGGGUUGGUAAGUCAGUGGUGAAAUCCCCGAGCUUAACUUGGGAACUGCCAUUGAUACUAUCAGUCUUGAAUAUUGUGGAGGUCAGCGGAAUAUGUCAUGUAGCGGUGAAAUGCUUAGAGAUGACAUAGAACACCAAUUGCGAAGGCAGCUGGCUACGCAUAUAUUGACACUGAGGCUCGAAAGCGUGGGGAUCAAACAGG